AAACUUGGCUUUUUUCCCCUCGUUUUCACCGAUUUCCCCUGAAUUUCGCCCAUUUCCGCCCCCCUCCCAACCCGGACGUGACGUCAUCAACCCCUCCGGGAAGUCUCUUUAUUUAUUUAUUUAUUUAUUUGGGGCCCCACUGGGGGGGGAAGGCACGGGGCGGAGUGUGGGGGGGCUGCCCCAUAGAAUCUGUGGGGCAGCCCCAUAGGAAGGUGUGGGGUGGCCCCAUAGAAUGUGUGGGGCAGCCCUGUAGUGAGGAGGUGUGGGGCAGCCCCACAGGGCUCAGGUGUGGGGCAGCCCCAUAGAAUGUGUGGGGCAGCCCCAUAGAAUGUGUGGGGCAGCCCCUUAAGGCACACUUGGGGGGCGG
rnacentral:lncRNA from 1 species